rnacentral:lncRNA from 1 species
GAGUUUAUGACUUUGCUUACUUUCCCAGUUUGUUGUUUCUCGCAUAUUAGACAUCCUCCUUGUGGAUCCACACCCUAAGUCCUACAACGUACAUCUUUGCACUUGCAGACACUAGGGUUUUAUAAAUUUAAAACUUUUGGAGGACCAAUGGGCUUGUUAAAAAUAAACCCUAGGCCCGCAAGCCCAUCAGGUUCACGGUUGAGGGAAGGACAAAUUCAAGAAGGCUUG